AGUCAACAAGAAGGGAAGAACAGCAGGAAGCCUCCCUGCCUCUUAUAACAGGUCAAUGAACUUUGGGAGAUAUAAGGAGACACAGAAAACCAUUUUGGUAUCCAUCACUUCAGAUAUUAAAGGGGCCAGAGCUUUUGAAAUCACAGAAUAUUGGAUCCUUCAACUAAGCGGGGUUCAACUGAGUUUAGGUUCAAUCCUGAAGUGAUCGCUCAGCUCAAACAGCUAUUGAUGCCAGUGGAACUGCAGCCCUGUUCUUAGACAUUGCAACACAUGUUAAGAGAGCUGGGCCCACAGGAGAAUCAUGACACUCUGCUACAUGAAGAUAUAAAGUUAUGCACGUGCACAUGGAGGCUAAGCUGAGAUGAUGGAAAAUGAGGUCCAAAAUCUUCAAGCAACCUUUAAUAAAUUCUUGUGUCUUCACCAGCAUGGGCACAGCUUUUGGAACACAACCUGUUUAACUGCUGCAAGGCAACACAGGGAACAUAUCAUGCCAUUGCCAUGCUGCACCAUUUAUACAAAGUAUAACUGAAGAUACAGAAGCCUGGCUUACGCCCAACCCUUACAUGCUGGAAGCUGCUACCCAUAUAUGCCAAGGUCUAGAAGCUGAAGGAAGACAAGCUUGGAAUAGAA